rnacentral:lncRNA from 1 species
UCUCCAUCUGCCCCAUGCCAGCUUCACAGUGUCCUCCAAACUAAAUUUCACUUUUCUUUUUCUUUUUAAACAGGCUGUGAAGUUUGUUCUAAUUAUACUGACUUGCUGGUAACAGAAAGAUCGCCUGGGCAUGUCCCCCUCAAUAUCUCCAAAGUGUCUUUCAGUGUGGAAAAAUGGAACAACUUCACUUCUCGAUGGGAUGAAGUAAUCAUCUCUGUUAUGGGGAAUUCAAAGUCUCUCAAUGGCCCCAUCAAAGAGCAGGUCUCUGUGUGUGGGGGAUAUUUCAAUCUGAAAAACGUGAGCAAAGCAGCUGAGGGAUAUUAUAAGGUGAUAUUGGUACUAUCUGGAAAGUGUGUGGCCUGUAUACAUCUGAGAGUGCUGGAGCCCACCUCAUCCCCACCUCCCACACCACAAACCCCCAGAGUGAGUGAGGAACCCACCACUAAGAGUGGAAAAGAGGGAUUGAAGGCUUUGAAAUGGACCAUUCCUGUUGGGCUUUUUGCUAUGGUGCUGAUGAUGUUCUGAUAACAGAGAUUCAUUAUCUUUUGAGGGAAAAAUCAUGGUUACCAAUAAAGAUCUGUCUGUGCCAUGGGCCUGAAGUUUC